UACGUAGGGUGCAAGCGUUGUCCGGAAUUAUUGGGCGUAAAGAGCUCGUAGGCGGUCUGUUGCGUCGGCUGUGAAAACCCGGGGCUCAACUCCGGGCCUGCAGCCGAUACGGGCAGACUGAGUAUCGUGCAGGGGAGACUGGAAUUCCUGGUGUAGCGGUGGAAAUGCGCAGAUAUCAGGAGGAACACCGGUGGCGAAGGCGGGUCUCUGGGCAGUAACUGACGCUGAGGAGCGAAAGCGUGGGGGAGCGAACAGG
rnacentral:rRNA from 1 species